rnacentral:rRNA from 1 species
GAGUACGGCCGCAAGGCUGAAACUUAAAGGAAUUGGCGGGGGAGCACUACAACGGGUGGAGCCUGCGGUUUAAUUGGACUCAACGCCGGAAAACUCACCGGGGGCGACAGCAAUAUGUAGGUCAGGUUAAAGGUCUUACCUGAAUCGCUGAGAGGAGGUGCAUGGCCGUCGUCAGUUCGUACUGUGAAGCAUCCUGUUAAGUCAGGCAACGAGCAAGACCCGUGCCCACUGUUACCAGCAUAUCCUUUAUGGAUGAUGGGGACUCUGUGGGGACCGCUGCUGCUAAAGCAGAGGAAGGUGCGGGCUACGGUAGGUCAGUAUGCCCCGAAUCUCCCGGGCUACACGCGGGCUACAAUGGUUGGGACAAUGGGUAUCUACUCCGAAAGGAGUUGGCAAUCUCUUAAACCCAAUCGUAGUUCGAAUUGAGGGCUGUAACUCGCCCUCAUGAAGCUGGAAUCCGUAGUAACCGCGUUUCAACAUAGCGCGGUGAAUCUGUCCCUGCUCCUUGCACACACCGCCCGUCAAACCAUCCGAGUGAGGUAUGGGUGAGGGCACGAACUUAGUGUCGUGCUCGAACCUAAAUUUCGCAAGGAGGGUUAAGUCGUAACAAGGUAGCCGUAGGGGAAUCUGCGGCUGGAUCACCUCCU